UGGUAGUNCACGCCGUAAACGAUGAGUGCUAGGUGUUAGACCCUUUCCGGGGUUUAGUGCCGCAGCUAACGCAUUAAGCACUCCGCCUGGGGAGUACGACCGCAAGGUUGAAACUCAAAGGAAUUGACGGGGGCCCGCGCAAGCGGUGGAGCAUGUGGUUUAAUUCGAAGCAACGCGAAGAACCUUACCAGGUCUUGACAUCCCUCUGACCGCUCUAGAGAUAGAGUUUUCCUUCGGGACAGAGGUGACAGGUGGUGCAUGGUUGUCGUCAGCUCGUGUCGUGAGAUGUUGGGUUAAGUNNNNNNNCGAGCGCAACCCCUAUUGUUAGUUGCCAUCAUUCAGUUGGGCACUCUAGCGAGACUGCCGGUAAUAAACCGGAGGAAGGUGGGGAUGACGUCAAAUCAUCAUGCCCCUUAUGACCUGGGCUACACACGUGCUACAAUGGCUGGUACAACGAGUCGCAAGCCGGUGACGGCAAGCUAAUCUCUUAAAGCCAGUCUCAGUUCGGAUUGUAGGCUGCAACUCGCCUACAUGAAGUCGGAAUCGCUAGUAAUCGCGGAUCAGCACGCCGCGGUGAAUACGUUCCCGGGCCUU
rnacentral:rRNA from 1 species